UCUCACCUACGGGACGCAGCAGUCAGGAAUAUUGCGCAAUGGAGGAAACUCUGACGCAGUGACGCCGCGUGCAGGAAGAAGGUUUUCGGAUUGUAAACUGCUUUAGACAGGGAAGAAACAAGACAGUACCUGUAGAAUAAGCUCCGGCUAACUACGUGCCAGCAGCCGCGGUAAUACGUAGGGAGCAAGCGUUAUCCGGAUUUAUUGGGUGUAAAGGGUGCGUAGACGGGAAGUCAAGUUAGUUGUGAAAUCCCUCGGCUUAACUGAGGAACUGCAACUAAAACUAACUUUCUUGAGUGCUGGAG
rnacentral:rRNA from 1 species